rnacentral:rRNA from 1 species
GAUGAACGCUGGCGGCGUGCCUAAUACAUGCAAGUCGAGCGAACAGAUGAGGAGCUUGCUCCUCUGACGUUAGCGGCGGACGGGUGAGUAACACGUGGAUAACCUACCUAUAAGACUGGGAUAACUUCGGGAAACCGGAGCUAAUACCGGAUAAUAUAUUGAACCGCAUGGUUCAAUAGUGAAAGACGGUUUUGCUGUCACUUAUAGAUGGAUCCGCGCCGCAUUAGCUAGUUGGUAAGGUAACGGCUUACCAAGGCAACGAUGCGUAGCCGACCUGAGAGGGUGGUCGGCCACACUGGAACUGAGACACGGUCCAGACUCCUACGGGAGGCAGCAGUCGGGAAUCUUACGCAAUGGGCGAAAGCCUGACGGAGCAACGCCGCGUGAGUGAUGAAGGUCUUCGGAUCGUAAAACUCUGUUAUUAGGGAAGAACAAAUGUGUAAGUAAAUAUGCACGUCUUGACGGUAACUAGUAAGAAAGCCACGGCUAACUACGUG